AACGUAGGACACAAGCGUUAUCCGGAGUUACUGGGCGUAAAGGGCGUGUAGGCGGACGUGUAAGUCUAUUCUGAAAGCUCCUGGCUAAACUGGGAGAGGCGAAUGGAGACUGCAUAUCUAGAGUGAGGAAGAGGAAAGUGGAAUUCCGCGUGUAGUGGUGAAAUUCGUAGAUAUUCGGAAGAACACCAGUGGCGAAGGCGACUUACUGGACGAUUGUUGACGCUGAGGUGCGAAAGCGUGGGGAGCAAACAGG
rnacentral:rRNA from 1 species